GCUGGGCACAGUGGUGCACACCUGUAAUCCCAGCUACCUGGGAGGCUGAGGCAGGAGGAUGGCAAGUUUGAGACCAGGCUUAGCAAUUUAGUGAGACCCUGUCUCAA
rnacentral:sRNA from 1 species